UCAGGAAUUUAGGCGCACGCGUUCGGAGUGAAGUAGUCGACUUGCUCAUGUAAACCACUCGCACACGGAAAAUGACAGCAAAACAACAACACAAACCGACGGUUCUUUCGAAGAUUGCAACAUUGUACCACAGUUGCAUAGCGUAGCGUAGAAGUCAGCACAAGGGAAUGAGUCAAUCUACGAUUAGUGGGGUCUAAAAUUACAGAACCAGGUACGCGAAUCUUAAAUCAUGUCCAAAGCGGAAAUAUUGAAGGGCAAGGUGCCCGUUACCUUGCUGCAAGAGAUGUGCGCCAAAAGUAAAUGCUCGUUGCCGGUGUACCAGUUUAUCAGCGAUGAAAUUUCACCGCACUGUGCCAAUGUGAAAAUCUUCACCUACAUGGUGUCGGCGCUGGGUAAGCAAGCGAGAGGCGUCGGCAGAUCGAAGCAGGAUUCGAAGCACGAAGCUGCCUGGCAACUGAUACGCUUGGUGCUGGACCUUCCGCCCGGGGAAGGGGAUGAUAUGGUUGAUGCCGCUGGAGACAGAGGUUCGUUGGCCGCGCUGGAGCUCGGUACGGAUCGUGUCAGCCAGGUGCGGGAUAUCUGCAUCCAGCGUAACUUCCCGCUGCCCGAAAUAGAGCUGGUGCGCAACUACGGCCCAUCACAUGCACCGGUGUUUGAGUACGAGUGCCGCAUCCGGGACAUUGUGCGCCGUGGAACACAUGCCACGAAAAAGGGGGCCAAGCAGAUUGCCUGUCAGGAGAUGAUCAAAACACUGCAAUCGAUGCCGGUCGAGGAAGAAAGUUUACAGGUGCUGACGCUCGAUCAGGCGAUCGAAGAGGCGGAUGAUACGAAUGAGAACCUCAUUCGAACGUAUCGCGAAUAUACGCAGUCGGACAAUAAGAAGAAGCUUGGCGUUUCCCUAGCGGAUAGGCACACGUUUUUCCUCGAGCUGCCCCAGGAACGGAUCGAUCAGGCACGUCAGCUGCUGGUGAACCCGGACGAAACAGUGCGCGAGAAGUGUUUGCAAAUUGCGACAGCCCUUGGGCUCAAGUCCAAGAUACAGCUGUCCAAUCCCAAUUUGCCCAGAAACAAAGGCUGCUACUUGAGCACGUUCGAGCUUGUGAAUCCCGAUUACGACUGCCUGAUUGUCGGCGAGGGUGACACAUUCUACGCCAACGUGUGUGACUAUUUUGUACGAAUGCUCAACAUAAAGCUCAUUGUUAACCAACGAAUAAUAAUCGCAAAGUUUGGAAGUUCCUGCAAAUAAAACAAUUGAAAAACGGGCAUAAACUAUGAAUUCGGCGACAAAGGUAGGAGAGAUUUUUACCGCUGCCGGUGCGGCAUUCAAUAGCCUAGGAGAGCUAACGAUGCAGCUUCACCCAUCUUCCGAUUCUCCGACUGGGAGCAAAUGGACAGAUGAAGAAAUAGAGAUGCUUCGAUCCGCAGUCACACGGUUCAGCGAAGAUUUGAGCAAAAUCAGCCAACGCAUCAAGGGACGUACGGUCUCACAAAUUCGCCACACGCUCAAGAAGAAAGCAUUUGAAGAUGCAGGCCUGCCGGUGAGGCAACUUUCACAGACAGUUCCCUCUCAACCACACCAUCAACAGCUUCACACAAUACAGCAGCAGCAACAGCAAUUAAUCGUUACAUCCACUGCAGUUACACACUACGAAGAGGCUGCAGCGCCCUCGGCCGUUAUUGCACAUCCGAUGGUAAUCGAGUCGGUCAUAAAAGACGAAAACACCGAUGCCAGCGGGCUACUCUGUCAAACGGCCGACAUUUCGAUGACACUGAACCGACUCAAUACACAGGAGCAUGAGGCAGACGUCGAAGGAAUCGCUACGAGCGAAAUGAAGCUCGAGUUUGAACCCGGCACGGAAGAAGUGGCCGGGUGAAACGAGGAUGAUUUUUACUACAGCGAACCGAAAGAUUAAACCCCAGCAAACAAAUUACUGUUUUCCUCUCGUCUCCCCCGAUGCUAUAUUCCCGGCAGUGUAACAAGGCAAAAGUCGAAAAAAAACAACAAACAAUACAAGCGACUGUAGCGUUUGAAAUGUAGCGCACCAGUUGAAUAGAACGUUCCCCUAAAUUCGCUAGAAAUCGAUUUUAAUGAUGUCAACUUUGUGACUUUCAAACGAUCGCUCAUGAAAUAGUCGUUCUUCGGUUGUGGUAGUGGUCAGAGAAGAGGCCAUCAGUGAUCAAUUUUCGUGGUGUUCAUCGGUCAAAUUUUGUAUAAAUAAACAUGUGCAUCAUAUCAUCCAUACGCUGA